AAUCUCAAACUCCUCCUCCUCAAAUUAGAUUAGACGAUCAUUUUUUUUUUCUUUUUAGUGAGAGCCGUACAAACAAAUUUUACAAAAUAAUUGUAUUAUAUUGUGCAACUAAAAUGAAUUUACUGAUUUCGAUUUUACUGAUUGUAAAAUGGGAUUAUUAUUUUAACAAAAACAUUCUCGUUAUUUCAUCACCACUAUAAUCC